AGGACAUGACCUCCUGUCCCUCACCGUCACCCUCUACCACUCUCUUUCGCUUUCUUACAGCACUUAUCAAAGCUUCGACGCAAUUCUCUGGUGCAGCCACCUUCCAGAGCUUUUGGUGCACUUCUGAGGCUCCCCUCCACCUCUCCUGUUUCCAGGGCCUUGGUGAGUUUUGAUGGACACAGAACCAAGAACCCAGCGCCAAGGUCCAGGCCUUUAUGAGGUGCUUGUGCAGGGGCUGCACACCCAGCUGCCAACCAAGUGAAGGGAGGGAGGAAAAUGAACAUCUAAGACCUCAAGCUGGAAGAAGUUUCAGUCCCAGAAGGUGCUAACUGGUUCCCCUGCCCCUCUUCCUACCCCCUCCCGCAGCUCGGCCAGCUGCUGGAGGGACGCUGCAGGGGAAGGAGGCAGGGUGAUUAAGAGCUCUGGUUGUCAGGGCUGGGGCCAGGGGGCACGCCCCCUGGGUGACAUUUUCUCGCAUUGUGUCCUCAGAACAAAAACGAGUCUUAUUUGAGGAGCUAGAUGGGGGAGGGGGCCGGGGGGGCUGAAGCGACCGAGUGGAAUCGUGGCUCCAGGGAACAGCGAUUACUCAUCAAAGGCCAGGGCAGCCCACGUCUUUGUGUGCCCUCCGCAGCCCGCCCGUGCCUGGCCACAGGCCCCCAGCCUUAGACUUCCCCCUGACAGCCCCCAAAGAGCAGGGCUGGGGUGGGGGAGAGCUGGGAUCGUGUGUGGGCACAGAGCCCGGACAGGCGCGGUGGGGGCAGGGGUGACCAGGGCAGGCUUCCUGGAGGAGGGGAGCGUAGACAUGCACUGGACAGAGGGGAGGCGCAAGGAAGAGAAUUGCUGCGUGCUAAGGGGAGAAAAACGUGGGUCUCCGGAGACCAGGGGGUUGUUCCUAGACUGGUUCCCUGCGGGCACAGCAGCAUCUCUCCCAUCAGAUCUGGAUUUGGUUCUUCCUCUAGCUGAACUCCCAGCCAUCCACUUGGUAUUUAUCCACAAGGCACCUGAGUGUCGACACAGAAGACAGGUAAGCUUCCCAGCAGGUGCCUGUUCAAUCUCCUGAUUGUGCUGAAGGGGCCUCAUGCGUGCCAGCUAAAAACCCAUAGGUUGGCACAUAAUAGAGUUGGGGGGAGCACUGAACUGCCUCCUCCAGGAAGCCUUCCUGGGACAGGCAAAAAGGAGAGGUCUCUUUCUUUUUGGUCCACCCUGGCUCAAGGCCAGCCAAUGUCCACAAGAGUGACCAAAGCUGGGACAUGCCCUGGGGCAGCCCUGUCCCUCAGGUCACUAGUCCAUGACAGGGUCCCUCGUGCCCAUCUUGUGCAGAAAGAACCCCAUUGUCCAGGGGGCAUAGCUGAGGGGUGAGUUCAGAGCCCAGAGAUGUUGACCACAGGACUGGUCAUCGGCCUUCUGACCACAGCAGGAGGGAGUCGGGGAACUGUGUGGUCUGUGGGGGCGAGGGUCAGGCACAUACUAUUGCACACACAGGGCCAUAAACCCAGGCACUGCCCUCCUCAUCCAGGCACACACUCCCCUGUGCUCCCCCCAGGACGGCCCCUCCCUUUCUUCUUCCGCAUUCCUGCUGGCAGAUGCUCCAUUCUUUUCUUCCCCAAGCAAGCCAGGGAGAUCUCCACCUUCC
rnacentral:lncRNA from 1 species